GUCUACACCAUACCACACUGAACGCACCCAAUCUUCUCUGACCUCCAAAGCAAAGCAAGCUAGGGCCUGGUUCGUACUUGGAUGGGAGAUGGUAUGAACUCUACCUGGAACUGAGGUCGUUUCUUGACU
rnacentral:rRNA from 1 species